AGAAUUUGAUCUUGGUUCAGAUUGAACGCUGGCGGCGUGGAUGAGGCAUGCAAGUCGAACGGAAUAAUGACUUCGGUUGUUAUUUAGUGGCGGAAGGGUUAGUAAUACAUAGAUAAUCUGUCCUCAACUUGGGAAUAACGGUUGGAAACGACCGCUAAUACCGAAUGUGGUAUGUUUAGGCAUCUAAAACAUAUUAAAGAAGGGGAUCUUCGGACCUUUCGGUUGAGGGAGAGUCUAUGGGAUAUCAGCUUGUUGGUGGGGUAAUGGCCUACCAAGGCUUUGACGUCUAGGCGGAUUGAGAGAUUGACCGCCAACACUGGGACUGAGACACUGCCCAGACUUCUACGGAAGGCUGCAGUCGAGAAUCUUUCGCAAUGGACGAAAGUCUGACGAAGCGACGCCGCGUGUGUGAUGAAGGCUCUAGGGUUGUAAAGCACUUUCGCUUGGGAAUAAGAGAGAUUGGCUAAUAUCCAAUCGAUUUGAGCGUACCAGGUAAAGAAGCACCGGCUAACUCCGUGCCAGCAGCUGCGGUAAUACGGAGGGUGCUAGCGUUAAUCGGAUUUAUUGGGCGUAAAGGGCGUGUAGGCGGAAAGGAAAGUUAGAUGUUAAAUCUUGGGGCUCAACCCCAAGCCAGCAUCUAAUACUAUCUUUCUAGAGGGUAGAUGGAGAAAAGGGAAUUCCACGUGUAGCGGUGAAAUGCGUAGAUAUGUGGAAGAACACCAGUGGCGAAGGCGCUUUUCUAAUUUACACCUGACGCUAAGGCGCGAAAGCAAGGGGAGCAAACAGGAUUAGAUACCCUGGUAGUCCUUGCCGUAAACGAUGCAUACUUGAUGUGGAUAGUCUCAACCCUAUCCGUGUCGUAGCUAACGCGUUAAGUAUGCCGCCUGAGGAGUACACUCGCAAGGGUGAAACUCAAAAGAAUUGACGGGGGCCCGCACAAGCAGUGGAGCAUGUGGUUUAAUUCGAUGCAACGCGAAGAACCUUACCUGGGCUUGACAUGUAUUUGACCGCGGCAGAAAUGUCGUUUUCCGCAAGGACAGAUACACAGGUGCUGCAUGGCUGUCGUCAGCUCGUGCCGUGAGGUGUUGGGUUAAGUCCCGCAACGAGCGCAACCCUUAUCGUUAGUUGCCAACACUUAGGGUGGGAACUCUAACGAGACUGCCUGGGUUAACCAGGAGGAAGGCGAGGAUGACGUCAAGUCAGCAUGGCCCUUAUGCCCAGGGCUACACACGUGCUACAAUGGCCAGUACAGAAGGUAGCAAUAUCGUGAGAUGGAGCAAAUCCUCAAAGCUGGCCCCAGUUCGGAUUGUAGUCUGCAACUCGACUACAUGAAGUCGGAAUUGCUAGUAAUGGCGUGUCAGCUAUAACGCCGUGAAUACGUUCCCGGGCCUUGUACACACCGCCCGUCACAUCAUGGGAGUUGGUUUUGCCUUAAGUCGUUGACUCAACCUGCAAAGGAGAGAGGCGCCCAAGGUGAGGCUGAUGACUGGGAUGAAGUCGUAACAAGGUAGCCCUACCGGAAGGUGGGGCUG
rnacentral:rRNA from 2 species